UACAGAGGGUGCGAGCGUUAAUCGGAGUUACUGGGCGUAAAGGGCGCGCAGGCGGUGAGACAAGUGGGGUGUGAAAUCCCCGGGCUUAACCCGGGAACAGCAUUCCGGACUGUUUUGCUGGAGUACUGUAGAGGGUAGUGGAAUUUCCGGUGUAGCGGUGAAAUGCGUAGAGAUCGGAAGGAACACCAGUGGCGAAGGCGGCUACCUGGACAGAUACUGACGCUGAGGCGCGAGAGCGUGGGGAGCAAACAGG
rnacentral:rRNA from 1 species